rnacentral:pre_miRNA from 1 species
ACAACAACAUUCGGACCGUCGGUCUACCGAGCAAUAUCACCCGCUCGGUGGAAGAUCUUCUCUUUGUCGUAUAUU